rnacentral:lncRNA from 1 species
AAUUAUUACCUGGGUUCUAAUCUUUUACAAAGAACAACACAAAGCUAAAGAAUCAUCAAAACUAGAAAGAAAAAAAUUCAAUCUCCAAAUUACACUUUCUUUAUACCCUAAAAAAAUACAGACUUUUUCUAUAAAAAAAAAGUGAACAUACAACCUAUUCCACCUACCAACCUCCCCGACCACAGAGAUGGAGAUAUAGAGUGAGAGAGAGGCUCAUAGGUUUCUCUAGUUUUUAUGUCUUGCUGAAGUGGAAAGAUUUGGCAACACCCAAGUGAUCAGCUAGCCGUUCUACUGUGGACUGCACCGUUUUAGACACCGGUGAGAGCGAAUCUGGGAGACUCGGGUGGCAUUGUGGUAAAUACGGGUCAUCAUCCUCUGUGCGGCUCAAGCAAGUGAGUACAGACCGGCAGAAUAUGAAUCUACACAACAACCAAGGUAAUAUUAGAGAAGCUGCCUUGUCUGGUUCUGAUUCCCAAAACUUUUAAAAAAUAAGACUCACCUGAGAAUCAGCCGUCUCAAGAACUGAUCAGGCAAGACCUGUGCCCAGACAAGAUUCAAGACUUUGGAAGUCAAGAGGAUCGUUUCCCACUCAGAGAAAGAAGCAGAUAGUAUGCUCUCUGCUUCAUCAUAAACCUCCUGAAGAUAUGUGAUCAAGAUGGUAAGAAGCAAUGCCACCACAUCAUGAUAACAUACGCUUUGCUUCAUUUAAGGUACUUACAGGUUCGGGAUCCGAGUUCGAGAGGCCCAGCAUUUGACAGAAUGCUUGUAAAGGAGCUGUCAAGAAAAAAGUAAACUGGCUUCCGUUUAGUGCUGCUGCUGUAUCAUCAGCAGAUGGGUUCUCCAGAGAUGGCUUCAGAGGCGAAAGAAGUAGAGCAACAGGCUCUCCUCUCUCUGCACCAUUCAAAACCUGAAGCUCACAAUCCGUUAGCCAAUAUCGCACAGUGACAAAGAACAACUAUAAGAAUCUCCUGAGAGAAUGAUAAGACUAAGUUAGGACAAACCUGCCUUGAAUGCUCGGCUAGUGUCGCUAUCAAUGACCAAGAAAAGCGGUUUCCGCGUAAAAGGGAUUAGAUCACCAGGGUAAAGGUUGUUUGAACCUGAAAAAAACAAAAAACAAGACAGUGAGUGAGAAAAGUCUGCUCAUUCAGUGCCCACUGGAGACAUAUAACAAUGUAAAUCCGAGGAAAACAACUUACCAGAGCCUCCUCUAGGACCUAACCAAAGAUAAUCAUCAUAAUAACCCCCAGAAGAUUUGUGUCCGUUGCUAAGAGGUUCUGACUUGUAACUCUUCUGCUCUUGGGAAGCUCGGCCAAGCAGCUUGCUUUUUGAUGUUCUGCUUGAACCGACAGCGUUCUCCGGUUGCGCAACAUUCUCACGAGCAGCAGGGCCACCUGGUUAAUCGUCACCAACAUGUUAACAUCAAGAAGUUCCAAGUGACAAAAAAAAAAAAAAACUAACCUGAAGCAGAUAGAUAUAUCAGCAUCACACACUCUGGAGAGAGUUCAUCACAGAUCAUCGCCAAGACCUGAACAUAUAUAAAGGAAAAAAAAAAUCAGAAACUCCUAAAGAUUAUUUUCCUAUAUGAAACAGAUAAAAAAAAAAACCUCACCGCAAGCAAGUGGGACACUGUGGGACGAUAAAGAACAGCUUUCCUAGGAUUAGGAGGUAACGACGGAUCAGCCAUAUCAGCAGCCAAUUUCAUAUCUAUAAUCCCAGAGGUCAGCGUAUGAUCAACCACAAAACCAUUCUCUUUCGUCUCAACAGGCCGCUUCUGGUAAAAAGACCCACUAGGCUCCCACUCUAAACACUGCAUCAUUCUAUACGUAUCCAACGUCACUUCAGCGUAUUUCACCUAAAUGAUUACAAAGGCCACAGCGUAUGAAUCUUAGGUUCAAUAAAAACAAAACACUGCUUGUUUAAUGCUUACCUCGUUACGGUGAUAGCUAGCUAAUAGAGCAUCACGAAACUUGAAGAGCUUCUUAGCGUGGAACCUCGCUAGGUACGUGUGAGAAGCUGGAUAGGAAUCAAGCAUAGCGCAGUAACGAAGCGGCCUGACAUAAGUUAAGUCCACGUCAGCUUUAGUAAACCGAGUGAUCUCUUGCACAACUAUCCUCCACUCCUUAAAGUUGGUCUCCUGCACCAAAAGAUCAAAACUUUAUUCAACCAGAGGCUCAAUUCUCAAAAGCCUCAAAUCAAAAAGAUUAAAUCUUUUACCCUAAAAUUAGACUUGCUGUCAUCAACCAAAGCCCUAAGCUUCUCAGCCAAGUGCAAAACCAUCUCCCUCCGAUCAACAAUCAACGCAACGAGCAAGAACCUCGCGUAGAACCUCAGCUCCUUGGACCUCGCGCUGAGAUCCUUCCUCUCCUCCCCUUCCUCGAAGUACCUCCGCUUGAGAAUGGCCUCGUAGAAGACGUAGGACUCGAGGAGGAAGCGAGCCUCGCUGGUCCUCAUGUACUGGCUGAAGUAGAGCUGCCCAAUCCGGCUCGCGAUCUCGCCGAUCUCCCACCGGUUCAGCCCCGACGCGACGAGCUUGGGCCGGUGGGACUGCUGGUAAUUCCAGAGCUUCAUGUAGGCCUUGAAGACCUUGUGGAAGUAGUGGCUCUGCGCUCGCCCGAAGGCCGGGAGAUCGCGGACUCUCGCGAACUUGCGGUCCGCGUUCUCCACCAGGGCUCGGAAAUUGCGCGACACGUCUUCCUCCGCCAUUUUGCGACUGUUUUGUUGCCCCUUUUAGUUGCGGUGAGAGUCGCCGUCGUUUACCAUCGGCGGAGAGAAAGAGAGAGAGAAAGGGAAAGACUUUAAUGAGAUUGGCGGUGGAGAGAGAGAGAGAGAGAGAGAACAGAUGAGAAGAGUAAAUAUGGUUUUCCUUUUCUUUUUUAAUAUUGCUUCAAUUUAUCUUCCUUAUUUUUCCAUUUUUAUUUUAUUUCCUCCUUUUAGGUCUUCACCUUUACAAAAGCAGUUGAAAAAACAGUAGAAUCCUUGGGAUUAAUAGUAAUCUUUCAUUUCAUAAUUAUUGUUAGUUCAAAACCUGUGAAUUUUGAGAGAAAAAAACAAUAAUAAAUCUGAGGUAUACUCCAAAUGUUCGAUGUUUUAGCUUCUUUCUCGUAUAUAAAUAUAUGAUUUUUUUUUUAUUAAUGUAUUAGUUUUAAAAUAAAAUAUGAAGCAAAAUGUAAGUGGUUAAAUUUUAUUGACAAUAGAAAAAAAAAUUAAACUAACUAAAAAGUCCAUAGUAGACAAAAAUAUUUUUUUUUUAUUUGUAUGAAUUACCUUAAAAAGUUAUACAUUUUUAUUCGGAGAUAGUAUCAUUUAAGAAAAAAUUAUAUGUUUAAGAUAAUUAUUAAAAUAUUAUUUUUAUGUAGAAAUACUAUGAUUAGCUAUCACGAUACUAUUUUCAUUCAGAAUUUUAUUACAUCAAGGUUUAGUUUAGCAAAUGCGUGACAUUGAAAUUUAAAACUACCAUUAUUCAUCCUUUUUCAUUUCAGUACCAAAACAUUUAAUAAUGUUAUUAGCUGGAUUAUUGCAGAUAGGAGUAUGCAUCGCUAUGAGCAAAAACGCAUGUGCGCACGAACCCACAAAAGAAUUUGCAGAAUCAUAAAAUCCCGUGUGUUGUGUAAUCAUGGUAAGCAGGAAGAGCUGGCAUCAACGCAAAAUAUGUACUCGAUGAUGAUACUCGCAGUCCAUACAGUGUCAUGGUAUAGUUUAAGCAAAUGUCCUUAACGUACGUACCUACUUGGUUAGAGAAGAUAAUAUUUUCUUAUUCAGUCUCCACAAUUAACUAACUGACCCAUAUACUAAUCGUGGCAACAUGGCAAAUUAUAUGAUCUUUUUUAGUUAGUUUUCUUCAGUAAUACGUUCUUAAAUUAAAUGAUGGUAGCAACACGCAACUUGCACAUGAUAUGGCUAUAUAUCAUUUUAUCAUAUGCCGACGCACGGCAUGGCGAGAAGCCUUUUUUAUAUUUCCCCUAACUACGAGUAAUUAUAUGCGGAUGUAUUUGUCAAACUCAUGAAAGAUGAUUCGGUGAAUCAGUGGCAAACAUCUAUAACAAUACCAACUCGAUUGCUAAGAGGAACCCUAGGGGAAAGUGUUAUUAGUUAGAAUAUGCAUAACAAAGGCGUUGACUUUUUAAUAUUGGUCACUAGUUUUUUUUUACUUUCCGGGUGUUGUUCCAAAUUCAGCUAAUGGUGUAAUCAUCACAUAUACUGAAAUUUAUUUAUAAAGGUGGACCGACGUGACCUGUCGUGAUGCUGAUUCUCAUUUUUUGGGGUAUUGUUGAGAACAUUAUAAAUUUAAGAAGAUAAGAAAUCGAUUUUUUCAAGGGUUGAGUUUGAUUUAAUAUCAUUGCAUAAAUGAAUAAAAACUGCUUAAGAUUCAUCUUUGGGUUCUAAUUAUGUGGUUAUCUAAUAUAAAGAGAAUCUUUAGAUGGUUGACAAAAAAAGAGAGUUCGUAGAAAAUGAGAGUACAGUAUGUAUAUUUUAUACUAAAACGAGUAUACACAAAUAUGUCAUAUAAACAUUUUGUCUCUACACCUGCAAAUUACAAUAUCAGUGGGGCAUGUUUCCAUUAACUUUUUGUAGUAGUGGUUAGAUGUUAGUUGUCUGAACUCUAUUUAUUUAUUUUUAAAUUUUGAAUAUUCAUAUUUCAAUUUGGUCCUACUUUGUUUGACAUAAAUUAGGAAAUCUAAACUAAUUUUAUUUGCUUGGCGGACCAAAUGGUACGUCGCCUUUGUUAAAAGCUUUAUUAGGUGGGAAACUUUAUUUGCUAAUUAUAAAAUGUACCUCUAUAUUGGACAAGUUUUAGUUAAUUGCUUCGUAUGUACAUCCUCUUAUCACAUGAAUACAUUCCAUUAGACUAAAAAACAAACAAAAACUCCAAGCUAAUAAAUCAUUAAAAAUAGUAAUAAUUUUAAAAUCCUCACCCAGCGCUAUAUAAUUAUUUGUCUUAUAUAUAACACUCCACAUUCCACAUCAUAAUAUAACAGUGAGAAGAUAUGUUAUCGAGUUUCAUGUAUAUUUAAAUAUUUUGUUGUUUAGCUUGAUGGACUGGUCGUAGGUGGCUAUAUACCAAGUUAUUCGACAGCCGUGAUAAAGUGUUUAUAAAGAAGGUAAAGAUAGAGAAGAAGGAAAAACAUAAAGAACAAAAGAACAUAUUUGUGAAGUCAAUACCAAGAACAUACUAGUGUCAAAGUAAAAAAAGAAGGCAGAAGAAAGAAGUAAAGAUUGUUAUAAUAAUUAUGUCAACAUACUGUUAGUUGGCACAAAGUGGAUUUAAAAGCUUUUGCACCACCAGAUCAAAAGAAGGUGCGCAGUGAUAACGAGGAAAGAAAGAAAAAAAAGAAUGAAAGUUCAGCUAGCACUAAAGUAAACCUUGGAUACCUAUUAGGCUUUUGUAUAAAUAAUAGAUUAAAAUUGUAUUAAAACUAUACUAUAUGAAAAAAACGGUGCUUAUCAGUUAUCACAUCACACAUCCUUUUGCUUCUAUUGAUUUAGUUUGGGCUAACUAGCCCAAUAAGUACUCUAUUCCAUGUUUAUUGGGUUUCUAAUCAAAUAGAAUAGCAGAAAGUUGAUAUAUGAAAAAGGCAAUUGUAGAGUUGCUUCUCUUCUUUUAUAUGUAAACCCUAAUUUGCAAAUAGUAAAUUUUCUCAAAAAAACGUUAACAAGAAGUGGUGACAAUGUCCGAAUCCUUCUCUGAAGAACCACCGCGUAAUAAGAAGAAGAAGCCAUCCAUGUCUCCGUCGUUUUCCUUAUCGUCGCUGCCAGAUGAGGUGGCUUUGAGCUGCAUGGCUCUACUCUCGAGAUCGGACCAUGCAUCCUUAUCUCGCGUCUCCAAGAGAUACCGCUCUCUCGUGGCUUCCCCUGAGCUCUACAAGAUUCGCUCGCAGCUAGGUUACAGCUGCUUCUACGUAUGCUUGAGCAUCCACGGUCCUUACUCAACCCCACGUUGGUUCAUCAUCAGCCGUGAAAAAACCGUGAACAGGCUCAUGACCCCUAUCCCUCCUUGCCCUUCUUCUCACCCUUUGAAAGGAUUCUCCGUGGUGUCGCUUGACUGUGGCAUAUAUGUAAUCGGUGGGUCCAUAACGAGAAAGAGAGAGUACUUCCGUUCUUCGGACCCCCCUUCUUCUAGUGUGUUGCUCUUGGAUUGUCGGACUCACACGUGGCGUCAAGUCCCUUCCAUGAAAGUGGCUCGAUGUGAGGCGGCUGCUGGAGUCGUUGAUGGGAAGAUAUACGUGUUUGGAGGCUGCGGCCAUAAUGAGACCUAUGGAGAGGUAUUUGACCCAAAGACUCAAACGUGGACUACUUUGCCGCCAGUGCCGGAUAGUGUAAAAGAGUAUGUCCCAUUCAAAAAGACCAUGGUGAUGGGUGAGAAGAUUUACCCAGUGCCUUUCUGGAAUUCACCAAACCUAUUAUACUACUCUCCCAACGAAGGUAUAUGGGGAAGAAGGAUGAAGGAUGUUGAUGUUUCGAAGAUAGGAACCAAAAGUUAUUGUUUUAGUAUGGCAGAGAAUGUAUUAUACAGUUGUGAUGACUACGGGAAUAUGUUUUGGAGUGAGCCAGAGGAUUCGGAUUGGAAUAAAGUCGAGGGUUUAGGGGCUCUACAUAAUCAUUUUUACAAACCGCUGGCUAGCUUUAUUUGGGAUACGUCACCGUGUGAUGAGUUGUUGAGAACUUUCGGUACCAACAUUUUGAUCUUUUGGUUCAAGUAUAACCCUAAGAAUACGAAAGUGGAUAUCUGGUGUGCCGAGAUUUCCUUUGAAAGACUCCAUGACAAAGGUGAGAUUAUCGGUAAGAUUGAGUGGUUGCAAUCUGUUGCUGGAGUUAAAGGCCAUUCCUCGAGUCACCUUGAGGUUUUACAUUCUGCUUAUGUCAAUGUUUAGACUCUAUAUACAUCUGAUCAUCACAAGGUGUUUCAUUGUGCUUCUAUGUGUUUUAAAACAAAAACUUUUCUCUGGGGCAACUUCAUCAUCCCAUUCUAUCGUUGCAUAAUUGUAGUAAUUAUGUGAUGAUUUCAUGUAACUAUAAAAUACUUUAAUUUAUAGCCUGUGUAUUGGUUUCUUUACUUAUCAUUUUUGUGUGGGUGUAUACAUUGACUCGACUAUGAGCUUGUUAGAAGCGUUUGCAACCAUACUAUCUCGUUUGCUUAGUUAACUUAAUUACAACUGUAUUGCUUAGUGAUGUUGUUGUUGUUGCUAAAAGGACAAACAAAAGUAACUUUGUAUCAUCUUAUUGGAUAAACUUAUGAAAACCCUUUGACAAACAAAAGUUCUGUCACAAGGUCUUGUGUUAUCAUAUUUUUUUUAAAAAAAUUUAAUAUCAAAACAACAGCAAAUACAUAUGACUCUUGACUUUAAGCAUCUGCAGCAAAUAAAAGGUAUGUUCCAUCUGUGCUGACUCGAACUAGUUUAUAGGAGUUAAGACCCACAGGCUGAUAAACGCGUGUCAUUUCAUCUUUAGACGAGGUCAGUUGUCGUCGUUUUGAUAAAAGCCAUUUGCUCAUUCUCCCACUCUUAAGCCGACGCGAGCCGUAUUUAAGCUGUCUCCUACCACGGGUAUUUGUAAUCGUAUUCGAAUCUUUUUUUUCUUUCUAAUACAAUACAGUAUUAGUUUGUAAUUUAUCACUUUUGUUUCAUUUCUUUAUAAUCGCACUAGUGCUGAUUGUUUACAUUUUAUUAAUCGUAAAUGUAUUUUUCUUUUUGGAAAACAUUAGAAAAUUAAGGAAAUCAAUGACGAUGUAUCAAACGACCUAUUACCAGAGUUUCAUUAUAAUAUAAUUAGUUAUAUAUAUAUAUAUAUAUAGAAUUUUAAUUUAUCUUAAUCUACGCAUAAGAUUAUUCCUAGUGCAGUUUAUAUUGUUUAGAUGGUAUUGCGUUUGAGAAUUAGGGGAGUUCAAUUUAUUAGGAUUGAGUGGUAUUCAUGUCGAACUAUCGAAUAGUCUCUAAGUCAUAAACUAGUACUACACAUGUAUUAAUUUAAAAAUUUGCUGCAUUUAUUUGGCAAAAAAAAAGUUUGCUGUACUCUAAAAUAAAAUUAAAAUCUCUAUAUAUUCAAAGGAUCACAUCAGCUAAUUAAAUGUUUCCAAAUUUGAGUGUUAUAAAAUUUUCCAGAAAUAACGUUGAUAGCUGAGAGGGACCUUUGAAAAUCAUCACAUCUUAUAAUUAUAUGUUCACAAAUUAUUUUAUUAAACCCCAUUUGCGUGUUUAUGUAUAUUUAAUUAUUUAUAUACAAAUUGAAAAGCCUUUCAACAAAUCAUCAAUAAGGUUUAAACCUAAAUUAACAAUCUAUAGCGAAAUCAUUCCUCCUUAACCUAGAAUCUAAAUCCAGAAGACGAAUCGGCUAAUCAAACGACUAACGAAGAAACAAUCUGAGGAUUCGGGAAAAGAACUUUUACCUUCUCUGCGUCGCUUUCGCUUCUCUGAAUUCAAAUUAGUGCUCCGAUCUCGAAAAGGGAAGAUAAUGAAAGUAAUCUCACGUGUAGGGCUGUUGAUAUUUAAUUUAUAGGCAACGAUGUCAAAAGCAAGUUGACGAUCCUACGGUUGUUAUCGCUCAUCGGUGUGUUUCUCGUGUUUCUUAAUCGUACCGACUAAAAUACCACAAUAUGUGUUUUCUCUCAGCCAGUCAACGGUUCAGAUCUACCGUUUACACGUUUGACGAGGAUCGCCAAUCCUACGUGGUUGAUUCCUAUUGGUUGAAUACUAAACGUCACGGAUCGAUGACAUCAACCGUUCUAAUGUAGAAAUAUAAUGGGCUUAAAGAUAAGGCCCAUUAAUUACAGAAUCCUACGGGCACGUUACGUGCCGGUUUAGUUUAUUUUGCAUUAAAAACCAAUUUCGGAGUCGUCAUCUUCCUCUUCGCCCAGAUUCACUUCCUUCGAGAAGAUUCGCAUCAUUUUCCCAGGUAUAGAUUCUCUGACGAGAUCUGAUUCUAGUUUGUUGCUUAUUGUUCUUGUAGAUUCGAAUCCGGCGAUUAUCAAUUGCAUUUCGUGCUGGAUUCAAUUCGAAAGAUCCGAUCUAAUCGUUUUGGUUGGUGUUGAUUCAGUUAUGGAUUGGCAAGGACAGAAACUAGCGGAGCAGCUGAUGCAGAUCCUGCUCUUGAUCGCCGCCGUUGUGGCGUUCGUCGUUGGUUACACGACGGCGUCGUUUAGGACGAUGAUGUUGAUUUACGCGGGAGGGGUUGGUGUCACGACGUUGAUCACGGUGCCGAACUGGCCAUUCUUUAACCGUCAUCCACUCAAGUGGUUGGAACCAAGUGAAGCGGAGAAGCAUCCUAAACCGGAAGUCGUUGUUAGCUCGAAGAAGAAGUCAUCUAAAAAGUAGCAAAUCGUCUUUUGUAAUCUCUCUUUUUUUCUAGACCUUUGAUAUAAAAAAAAAGAACAUGUUCUGGAUUUUGCUUAUGAAUAAGAUAUAGUCUAAAUGACAUAAUAAUUUCGAUUGAUUCUGAGACAUCUUUGCUUAAUUGUUAUGUAAGAAGACAAUUUAAACGUUGUCUGUAAAGAACAGAACCGAGCCCAUGUCUUUUUAGUUUUUACUAAGUGUUCAAAUCAAUCACUAGAAAAAGAGCAAUGGUAGCAAGAGCUAGUAUAGACUCUACAAUCCGUGCCAUUACAAGAGAGCUAGAGGAGAGUGACGAGAAUGAAAAUGAGAAGAGCAGCGAUGAAAGAAUACUUGAGAGCAGCGACAAGGAUAGCAAAAGAGAUGAAGAAGAGCUGGGAUAAGACUUGAAGGCUAGCCCAUGUCAGUACUCCAGCUAAUCCAACGGCCGCAAAGUUAUCUUGAUCCGGCUUCAGUAGAUCCCCCAACCGGAAACUGAAACCAGGGAAUCCAUCUUUCUCGGGAGCAUCACCAUCAUCGUUACUAACCGGUCUGUUACCACCACCAGAAGACUCCUUAUUGCCACCGCCAUUUUGGGCAUACGUUCUGAGCUUUAACGGGGAUUUGCAGAAACUAACAUGAUGAUGGUGAUGAGGAAUGAUGUAUGAAUAACGAGGCUUUGGUGUGAUGGGCACAAAGGGCUUUAGUGUUAGCAGCAUCGCGGAUUGUGGAUUUAAAAUCAAAAUGAUCUUUGCUAUGAUAGUAGGAGCUGGUAAGUCUAUCUGCACUCGAGAAAAACAGAGGUCAAAUAGAAUCUAAGCAUAUCGAAAUGACUACUGGAACUCAAAAUCAAAGCGAAAUCCUAAUUCUCGCCAUGAUAUUUUAUAACUUGAAUCGAGCUAAAACCAAUACCCAGAUAUGAAUCAAUCUGCAUUCCAUCGGAUUAUCCAAAACAGAUCAUUCAUUCAUUCGAAAUCUCUACACCUCUAAGAGGUCAAGUCCGAUUGAAAAAGUUAUACGAAACCAAACACACCUGGAAUCCGCCAUGUUUCCUCCUCUCCACUCGCGAGAUAUGUAGUAGAACUAGAAGACAAAUCGAAAUCAACCGGUUGGUUUAAGAAAUUAGACUCAAUGGCUAAGAUUCAAUCUUACGGAGACACCAGCAAUAUUUAAACGGCUAGGAUCUUCUCCCUUGCUAUUUUAAUAUUUUGGUCUUUUUUAAGUUUCAAUCUUUUUUUUCUUUCUUCUCUAUAGCUCAAAUGUUGAGUAAACAUCAUGAUCAUAAAGAACAUGUAAAGAAACAAUGACACACUUUUAUUUAUGCAAUGCAGAGUUUUACCUCAGAUACACAAAACAAACCAUCCUGAGAAGAGAGAAGGAAAAGAGACUAGUAAAUUAUUACCUGGGUUCUAAUCUUUUACAAAGAACAACACAAAGCUAAAGAAUCAUCAAAACUAGAAAGAAAAAAAAUUCAAUCUCCAAAUUACACUUUCUUUAUACCCUAAAAAAAUACAGACUUUUUCUAUAAAAAAAAAGUGAACAUACAACCUAUUCCACCUACCAACCUCCCCGACCACAGAGAUGGAGAUAUAGAGUGAGAGAGAGGCUCAUAGGUUUCUCUAGUUUUUAUGUCUUGCUGAAGUGGAAAGAUUUGGCAACACCCAAGUGAUC